rnacentral:misc_RNA from 1 species
UUUUCUUCCUAGCUAAGGCCAUUCUCUGUACUCCUCUGAAUGUCAUCAAAGAAUUGGUAUCGCAUUCCUUCGAUCCACAGCAGAUGGGAAAAGUUGAUUCCAAACCCAUCCAAUUCUUCGUCAAAUUGAUGAUGAUGGGUGGUAAAAGCUUGGUAAUUCGAGCAUGUACUUAUGAUACCAUACAAUCUGUCCAUGACCAAAUUGAAGCGAAAACUACAAUUCCAUCUACACUACAGAAGCUAUAUUACACAGGAAAGAGGCUAGAGAGGUGCCAGACGAUCAAGGAGUGCUCAAUUCAAAACGAUGCUUGUCUCCAGCUAGUGCUCCGACAGGAUUAUGGAACUCGCCAGUAUUUUUUUGAGCAAGACUAUUUGGUUUCACUGAUAAAUUCCACCUGCAGAGGGGAAUUACCCGUUUCAAUCAUAAAAGACAAACUAAGGUGCGCUAUUUCCAUUUCGAGGCAGGGGUACAUGCGUUUACCAGUUUCACCCCCUUCGGCAUUUGUUAGGAUUUAUACUUCAAAGAUUGGCCGUAAGAAAAAGAUUGGAGCUACUGUAAUCAAAGUUUUCGUGUAUUUAUUAUUGAAGGAUGUGCUAGCAAAAGGUUGGCUUGAUGAAUGUGCAUCUCUGCUUUUAGAAUUGUGCAAACAUCUUAGGAGGGUUUCUGAUGAAGAUCCCCUGUAUCUCUUAUGUCGCACUCAUCUAAGAGAGUUGCUAGAAAAAGGUAAUUAUAAAAUCAAGUUUGUGCUUGGGCUAGAUACAAUAACAGAUAUUUUCCCCAUUUUUAGCGACUUAGCAGAAAGCUUGUCCAGGGAUUUGGAUCGUAGCACCAAUCGAUCCUCAGGCAUCAUUGAUGUUCGUGACUUUAAGGCAUUUUCACUCGUUUUAUGUAAUACCAUUCAUUUGCGAGUGGAUUCCGCUUUAAAAUACCUUUGGUGUUUUGAAGGUGCAUUUUAUGACUUGCUUCGAAGGAUGGAAGCGUACCUUGCUCAUUUUGAAAAUUUCUCGUACAUGGAAUCUGCUUAUUGUGGAUAUUCUCAAUAUCUUACCAUUCUGAAGGCAUUGCAUGUGAUAUCUAAACUUUGCGAGAGUAGUGAAGAACACUUUUGGAAUGUAUUAAGAAACAAAAGGCGUUCACUGUUAGAACUAAUAGCUAAAAGCACUGAUAGAACCAAUGAUCACUUGUGGCUACUCGAGCGAAAGGAUGUGAUGGAUAGUAAAUCUAGGAUGCAUUUAGCCAUGAUGAUGAUGACUGAGAUAAGAAUACAUGAUGUGGAGUUAUAUGAGAUGCUCGUUUGGUCUGAAAAACUGGACGCCGAUCUGUAUAUGGCAUUCAAAAGUCAGCAAAUUACAAAUCGUGAAGUACAACAGUAUUGGUUACAGUAUUGGUUACGCCGGUUAUGUGGAGAUAUAUUCAAUCCUAAAAAGUCCCUUUUUCUGGCGUGCCCAAAUGAUCCUAAGAGGUUCUAUCCUAAUCCUGCAAUUGAGCCCAAAACCUUAGACCUCGAGUGCUUUAAAUUCGUUGGGAAGUUGGUUGCGAUAGCUUUAAUGUCUGAAAUACAAAUUGGUGUUGCCUUUGCCCAUGUGUUUCUUAUGCAACUGGCCGGAAGGAGGAAAAUUUCACUAGAAGAUGUAAGGGAUCUAGAUCCCUCCUUGCAUAGUUGGUGCAAGGAGAUCAUAGAUGGUGAGG